UACGGAGGAUCCAAGCGUUAUCCGGAUUUAUUGGGUUUAAAGGGUGCGUAGGCGGCCUGUUAAGUCAGGGGUGAAAUUUUUCGGCUCAACCGGAAGCUUGCCUUUGAUACUGAUGGGCUUGAUUACACUUGAGGUAGGCGGAAUGUGACAAGUAGCGGUGAAAUGCAUAGAUAUGUCACAGAACACCAAUUGCGAAGGCAGCUUACUAAGGUGUUAAUGACGCUGAGGCACGAAAGCGUGGGGAUCAAACAGG
rnacentral:rRNA from 1 species